CCUAUAAGACUGGGAUAACUUCGGGAAACCGGAGCUAAUGCCGGAUAACAUUUGGAACCGCAUGGUUCUAAAGUGAAAGAUGGUUUUGCUAUCACUUAUAGAUGGACCCGCGCCGUAUUAGCUAGUUGGUAAGGUAACGGCUUACCAAGGCAACGAUACGUAGCCGACCUGAGAGGGUGAUCGGCCACACUGGAACUGAGACACGGUCCAGACUCCUACGGGAGGCAGCAGUAGGGAAUCUUCCGCAAUGGACGAAAGUCUGACGGAGCAACGCCGCGUGAGUGAUGAAGGUUUUCGGAUCGUAAAACUCUGUUAUUAGGGAAGAACAAAUGUGUAAGUAACUGUGCACAUCUUGACGGUACCUAAUCAGAAAGCCACGGCUAACUACGUGCCAGCAGCCGCGGUAAUACGUAGGUGGCAAGCGUUAUCCGGAAUUAUUGGGCGUAAAGCGCGCGUAGGCGGUUUCCUAAGUCUGAUGUGAAAGCCCACGGCUCAACCGUGGAGGGUCAUUGGAAACUGGGAAACUUGAGUACAGAAGAGGAAAGUGGAAUCCCAUGUGUAGCGGUGAAAUGCGCAGAGAUAUGGAGGAACACCAGUGGCGAAGGCGACUUUCUGGUCUGUAACUGACGCUGAUGUGCGAAAGCGUGGGGAUCAAACAGGAUUAGAUACCCUGGUAGUCCACGCCGUAAACGAUGAGUGCUAAGUGUUAGGGGGUUUCCGCCCCUUAGUGCUGCAGCUAACGCAUUAAGCACUCCGCCUGGGGAGUACGACCGCAAGGUUGAAACUCAAA
rnacentral:rRNA from 1 species